rnacentral:rRNA from 1 species
GUUAUCGGGAUUACUGGGGCGUAAAGCGUACCGCUAGGCGGUCUGUCAAGUCUGAUGUGAAAUCGUGCGGCUCAACUGCAUAACUGCAAUGGAAACUGCUUGGCUUGAGUGUGGUAGGGGUAGAUGGAAUUCCCGGUGUAGCGGUGAAAUGCGUAGAGAUCUGGAGGAAUACCGGUGGCGAAGGCGCUCUCCUGGACCACGACUGACGCUGAUGUGCGAAAGCGUGGGGAGCAAACGGGAUUAGAUACCCUGGUAGUCCUCGCUGUAAACGAUGUCCACUUGGAGGUGGCUGCCUUGACGAGUGCCUUGCCGAACUCAACCCUUUAAUCGACCCCCCGGGGAAUUCCGCCCGCCAGGAUUUGAACUUCAAAGGAAUUUGACGG